CAGAAGUUCUGAGAUUCUUCAGAAUAUUGACAUAUAUACUUGUCAGAAGCCCCGAGAAUUUGAGCACCAACUCCAGUGGAUCUGGGUCCAUGCUGUGCCACUUCCAAGGGCGACAAUUUCUUCCGAAAUGCUGGAUUCUCCACAGAAUACAUGAAACAAAAGCUCUCCUUCCGCUCAGGAAUAGAGACCUUGAAGUACCAACCCUCAAAAAAUUGCCGCGUGGUUCCAUCAAAAUGAUAUCCGCUGUGAGGAGUUCGAAGCUCACGGUUGGGAGGAGUGGCGACAUAAACGGGACUUGCAGAGGCCACACCCUCAGUACCUCCUCUUUCAACAGUCGAAGUUUGACGGUCAGUCACCGAAUUGGAAACCAAGAGUCGGGAC
rnacentral:misc_RNA from 1 species